CACGGGGGGAGCAAGCGUUGUUCGGAAUUACUGGGCGUAAAGGGUGCGUAGGCGGCGCCGUAAGUCAGGUGUGAAAUUUCGGAGCUUAACUCCGAAACUGCAUUUGAUACUACGGUGCUUGAGGACUGGAGAGGAGACUGGAAUUUACGGUGUAGCAGUGAAAUGCGUAGAGAUCGUAAGGAAGACCAGUGGCGAAGGCGGGUCUCUGGACAGUUCCUGACGCUGAGGCACGAAGGCCAGGGGAGCAAACGGG
rnacentral:rRNA from 1 species